rnacentral:rRNA from 1 species
AACGCGAAGAACCUUACCUGGGUUUGAAAUGCUAAUGAAUAUUGUAGAGAUAUAAUAGACCCGCAAGGGACAGUAGCACAGGUGCUGCAUGGCUGUCGUCAGCUCGUGUUGUGAAAUGUUGGGUUAAGUCCCGCAACGAGCGCAACCCCUGCCUUUGGUUGCUAACAUUUAAGGUGAGCACUCCAGAGGGACUGCCGUCGUUAAGACGGAGGAAGGUGGGGAUGACGUCAAGUCCUCAUGGCCCUUAUGUCCAGGGCGACACACGUGAUACAAUGGUAGGUACAGAGGGCAGCGAAGUGGUGACACGGAGCCAAUCUCAAAAAGCCUAUCUCAGUUCGGAUUGGAGUCUGCAACUCGACUCCAUGAAGCUGGAAUCGCUAGUAAUCGCGGAUCAGCACGCCGCGGUGAAUACGUUCCCGGGCCUUGUACACACCGAUACUC